GACGAACGCUGGCGGCGUGCCUAAUACAUGCAAGUAGAACGCACAGUUUAUACCGUAGCUUGCCACACCAUAGACUGUGAGUUGCGAACGGGUGAGUAACGCGUAGGUAACCUGCCUGGUAGCGGGGGAUAACUAUUGGAAACGAUAGCUAAUACCGCAUAAUAUUAAUUAUUGCAUGAUAAUUAAUUGAAAGGUGCAAUUGCACCACUACCAGAUGGACCUGCGUUGUAUUAGCUAGUAGGUGAGGUAACGGCUCACCUAGGCGACGAUACAUAGCCGACCUGAGAGGGUGAUCGGCCACACUGGGACUGAGACACGGCCCAGACUCCUACGGGAGGCAGCAGUAGGGAAUCUUCGGCAAUGGACGAAAGUCCGACCGAGCAACGCCGCGUGAGUGAAGAAGGUUUUCGGAUCGUAAAGCUCUGUUGUAAGAGAAGAACGGGUGUGAGAGUGGAAAGUUCACACUGUGACGGUAUCUUACCAGAAAGGGACGGCUAACUACGUG
rnacentral:rRNA from 1 species